GCUGGGUCCGGCGGCGCGCGCGCUGCGAGGUGACCGAGGAGCCGGGCCGGCCGCUCCGGACGAGCCGGGCUGGGGGACCGGAGCCCGGGGUCCCCGCCGCGCCGCCCCGAAGCCGCCCUCGGGAGAAAGACCCGCAUAUCCGAAUAGCGCUCACAGUUCCGCUGCGCAGACACACCGAGCGAGAAGCCCCCAGGAGCAAAGUCUAAGCAUAACCGCAUUAGGCGACCGUACGCGCAUCCACGACACUAUACGGAGCA
rnacentral:lncRNA from 1 species